GAUGAACGCUAGCGGCAGGCCUAAUACAUGCAAGUCGAGGGGCAGCACGGUUAGCAAUAACUGGUGGCGACCGGCGCACGGGUGCGUAACACGUAUACAAUCUACCUUUUACUGGAGAAUAGCCCGGAGAAAUUCGGAUUAAUGCUCCAUAACAAUAGUCUAGGCAUCUAGAUUAUUUGAAAGUUCCGACGGUAAGAGAUGAGUAUGCGCAUGAUUAGCUAGUUGGUGAGGUAACGGCUCACCAAGGCUACGAUCAUUAGGGGAUCUGAGAGGACUACCCCCCACACUGGUACUGAGACACGGACCAGACUCCUACGGGAGGCAGCAGUAAGGAAUAUUGGUCAAUGGAGGCAACUCUGAACCAGCCAUGCCGCGUGCAGGAUGAAUGCCCUAUGGGUAGUAAACUGCUUUUUAUACGGGAGAAAACCCAGGUACGUGUACCUGGUUGAUAGUACUGUAAGAAUAAGGAUCGGCUAACUUCGUGCCAGCAGCCG
rnacentral:rRNA from 1 species